CCAAGUCAGCAUUCACAAAUUGGAUCAAUUGAUAGAAGCCACCCAUUGACCCAAUGAUUUGGUUGAGAUCCCAGUAGCUGAAGAAUCAGGUCAAGUUUCUGUCUGUGGUGAAAACGAAAAGAAGGUACUACUUGGGAGAAGAAGCAACCUAAGUAACCUGUCUGGCUUCAACGGUAUGCUAGUGUGAAAAGUCAGCAGGGGCCUAACUGAUUCGUAUCUGGGAUCCUCAGGUAGCACAUUAUUCCAUGCAUGUUGCCACAGAGACCUAAUUGAUUUGAAAAUGGACCCAAAUACUAUCCCCUUGUGAGAACAGCUUUGCAAA